rnacentral:rRNA from 1 species
AUUGAACGCUGGCGGAAUGCUUUACACAUGCAAGUCGAACGGCAGCACGGGGGCAACCCUGGUGGCGAGUGGCGAACGGGUGAGUAAUACAUCGGAACGUGCCCAUGUCGUGGGGGAUAACGUAGCGAAAGCUACGCUAAUACCGCAUACGAUCUACGGAUGAAAGCGGGGGAUCGCAAGACCUCGCGCGAUUGGAGCGGCCGAUGGCAGAUUAGGUAGUUGGUGGGGUAAAAGCUCACCAAGCCAACGAUCUGUAGCUGGUCUGAGAGGACGACCAGCCACACUGGGACUGUGACACGGCCCAGACUCCUACGGGAGGCAGCAGUGGGGAAUUUUGGACAAUGGGCGCAAGCCUGAUCCAGCCAUUCCGCGUGCAGGAUGAAGGCCCUCGGGUUGUAAACUGCUUUUGUACGGAACGAAACGGCCUUUUCUAAUACAGAGGGCUAAUGACGGUACCGUAAGAAUAAGCACCGGCUAACUACGUGCCAGCCGCCGCGGUAACAC